rnacentral:tRNA from 2 species
GUGCCUGUAGCUCAGUUGGAUAGAGCGCCAGUCUCCGAAGCUGUAGGUCGGGGGUUCGAAUCCCCCCAGGCACA